rnacentral:rRNA from 1 species
UACGUAGGCAGCAAGCGUUGUUCGGAGUUACUGGGCGUAAAGGGUGUGUAGGCGGUUCUCUAAGUUCGGUGUGAAAUCUCCCGGCUUAACUGGGAGGGUGCGCCGGAAACUGGAGUGCUCGAACGUGGGAGAGGAAAGCGGAAUUCCUGGUGUAGCGGUGAAAUGCGCAGAUAUCAGGAAGAACACCCGUGGCGAAGGCGGUUCUCUGGGACGGUACUGACGCUGAGACGCGAAAGCGUGGGGAGCGAACAGG